GACGAACCGUGCGAACGUUGUUCGGAAUCACUGGGCUUAAAGGGCGCGUAGGCGGACUGCCAAGUCCGGGGUGAAAUCUUUCGGCUUAACCGGAAAAUAGCCUCGGAGACUGGCGGUCUGGAGGGGGGUAGGGGCAGCUGGAACUUCCGGUGGAGCGGUGAAAUGCGUUGAUAUCAGGAGGAACACCGGUGGUGUAGACGGCUUUCUGGACCGUAACUGACGCUGAGACACGAAAGCGUGGGUAGCAAACAGG
rnacentral:rRNA from 1 species